CGUGGGCAACCUGCCCUGAAGCGGGGGACAACAACUCGAAAGAGUUGCUAAUACCGCAUGUGAAUUGCCUUGGCAUCAAGGCGUAUUCAAAGCCGCAAGGCACUUCAGGAUGGGCCCGCGGCCUAUCAGCUAGUUGGUGAGGUAACGGCCCACCAAGGCUUCGACGGGUAGCUGGUCUGAGAGGACGAUCAGCCGGAUUGGGACUGAGAUACGGCCCAG
rnacentral:rRNA from 1 species